UAUCAUUGCCAUCCAAGCUCGGAUGCACCUUCAUUGGAUACUUCUUUGAGGAGCAACCAAUCUAGAAGGUUUGACACUCAACCAACCAAAAAUUUAUUAAAACAAACGAAAUUUAAAACAUAAAUAAUAACAUUACUUCAAAAUUUAAAAUUGUUCAUGGGGGACAAAACACCCCAAAAGUACAUAACCAACAUCAAAAUACACAAAUCUGAAAAUACAAUAGAAAUAAAACAAAAUAUGAAAAAUAAAAUAAACUUAUCCCUUCAAGGACUCAUAACCCUCAUCAGUAUCGGCUUCAGAACCGGUAGCCUCAUCAUCAUCAU
rnacentral:lncRNA from 1 species